GAUAUACUGCAAUAUAUUAGUCUGGGUCACAAUGCAAUGUAUAAUAUUUUAUUAGCCAAUUGAUAAUGUAGUCAGACUGAUGCCACUGUUGUAACAUUUUUAUCGUGGUGCGAUUGUGCACACAGCUCGCAUGAGUUCAGCUCGUGACAUCGGAUCAUGUUUGGCCUCCUCCCAUUGGCUGCAGCUUAAUUGAGGCGCCUCGGUGUCUAGAGGUCGCUUCACUUCUUGGACUGACGACGGAGGAAUAACCUAGCUAGUCACCUCGCAGAUAUUACCGUUUAGUUUAAUAUUUUCGGUAAAGUUCAUGUUUCAAGGUAUAAAUUAUCGGGAUUAUAAGCGAUUGUGGUGAAGUAACAGGACCCGCAGAACACUUUUAUCAGAAACGGACCUCGGACAUCGAGCUUUGCCGAGGACAAUGGAGGAAAACGAAGCAAAAAAAGGUGUUCAAUUCAGCGACGUUUUUGCGGCCACUUGUCCACCAUGCAUUUGUCGUCAGAGAUGAUGACUUCAUAUAUGAGAUGAAGAGAAAAAGAAGAGAUGAAAGGACAGCCAGCUUACCUUGCACGGCAUCUGGAUUCACGAGAUCAGGAUGGUGGCAAACGUACCCUCUGGUUCUUCAUCACUUUCACUCAUGGAGCCGUAGUUGGCCACCAGGGAUCCCAGAGCUGAGCUCAUCUGUUUAGGCGCCACAACCAGUACACCAGUCCUGGACUCAGGAGCCGGGUCCUCUCCGUCUGAAUCUGGAAGCACAUGAGAAACUCAUUGAAAUACAUAUCAGUUACUUGUUGAUUUUUUUUUCUUCUUAAAAUGAAGACAAUAUCAAACCAACAGUAUUUGGAUUUUGUCUAUGAUGUUAAUGAUGACCCAAAACAAUAACAUAGAUGUGACAAUAAAUGCAUGGUGACAUAUUUUAGGUGGUUGUUUACAGUCUUGAAUACUGUGCCCCGUCCAUUUCAGACAAAGUCACUCACCAUGAUCACUGCUGGCCAGCGCUCCCAGUGGAUCCCCGUCCCUGCAGGGCUGGGUGAGGGGUGGAGGUCUUUCUGUAGCACUGCUGUCUGAUGGGUGAGGGCCCAGAGGGUGUUGCCCAUGGAACCCUCUGUUAGCCCAGCUACGGCCCCUACCCCGUCCUCUUCCUCUGCCUCUCAUUCGUCUGUAAAUAAAAUAUUGAGAUUUAGAUGAGAUUAGCCCAGGUCUCACGUCAAAGUAAAUGAGUCUAAAUAUACCCUUUACUCUUGUUUGCAAUAAAAGAGAAAUUAAAAAAGA